rnacentral:rRNA from 1 species
UACGAAGGGGGCUAGCGUUGCUCGGAUUGACUGGGCGUAAAGGGCGCGUAGGCGGUUUGCAUAGUCAGACGUGAAAUUCCUGGGCUUAACCUGGGGGCUGCGUUUGAUACAUGCAGGCUUGAGUUCGGAAGAGGGUCGUGGAAUUCCCAGUGUAGAGGUGAAAUUCGUAGAUAUUGGGAAGAACACCGGUGGCGAAGGCGGCGACCUGGUCCGAUACCGACGUUCAGGCACGAAAGCGUGGGGAGCAAACAGG